rnacentral:rRNA from 1 species
AUACGGAGGGGGUUAGCGUUGUUCGGAAUUACUGGGCGUAAAGCGCACGUAGGCGGAUUGGAAAGUUGGGGGUGAAAUCCCAGGGCUCAACCCUGGAACUGCCUCCAAAACUUCCAAUCUAGAGAUCGAGAGAGGUGAGUGGAAUUCCAAGUGUAGAGGUGAAAUUCGUAGAUAUUUGGAGGAACACCAGUGGCGAAGGCGGCUCACUGGCUCGAUACUGACGCUGAGGUGCGAAAGCGUGGGGAGCAAACAGGAUUAGAUACCCCGGUAGUCC